UACGUAGGGGCCGAGCGUUGUCCGGAGUUAUUGGGCGUAAAGCGCGCGCAGGCGGCCUCGCGCGCCCGACGUGAAAGCCCCCGGCUUAACCGGGGAGGGUCGUUGGGGACGGCGGGGCUUGAGGGCGGGAGAGGGUGGUGGAAUUCCCGGUGUAGUGGUGAAAUGCGUAGAGAUCGGGAGGAACACCGGUGGCGAAGGCGGUUCUCUGGGCCUGUACUGACGCUGAGGAGCGAAAGCGUGGGGAGCGAACAGG
rnacentral:rRNA from 1 species